GCUGUGCUGCAAGGAGGGGGGGACAGGAGGUCGUGAGAGGGACAGGAAGGGUAAGGUGCUGCACAAGGGACAGGACGCAGCCAGCUGAAACUGCUGGAGAAAGAGCCAGAGUUGUGUGGGGUUGCUCAUGGGACUGCAAUGUAGGAAGGGUAUGAAAGACUCUUUAGAUAAUGAGCUGCUGAUACUUGAGGCCCUCUGGAGUUUUUAAAGAAGCUUUCUCAAGUACUGUGACCAUCUAGAAGAUGACAAUUCUUCACCAGGUCAUUGUCCAGCGGUGACUCUCUGCUAAAAACCUGAGCCACGCCGAGGCCGGCCCCAUCCUGGCCAGCCACCUGAAGGUGCUGCCCCUGCUCCUCAUCAUCGUGCCAGGAAUGGUCAGCAGGGUCCUGUACCCAGGAGAAACUCUUCCCUGCUCCUCUCCACCGAGCGCUGGCUUUCCUAACCCUGAUGCUGCUCUAAUUAUCUGCCUCUCAUCAAAGGGCCAGAACAAGUUCCUGCAGGAACACCGGCGUACCCAGCCGUCCCCAGCAAGGGGGACCUGGGUCACAGAGCAUCAAAGACCUCGGUGCUCCUUGCCCUGCAGGGCUCGGGGGUAUUUGAUGUGCAAGGAUUAAAGCUCUGAGCUCCCUGUCACCUGCUGGGAAGGGAGAAGCAAGUGGACUCUGGGAUAGUAAAUUUAAUUCCCUGUAAAUACAGAUUAGAUGCUCGGCCAGGGUAACCUCAGGCAGUUUCAGUGAUUUCAGCUGCUGGUUUGGCCCUGGGGGUUUGAAUGCCCCAAAAAAACAGCGGGCGGGGAGCCUCGAGAAGCCAGAACGCUUGGCAGGGGUGCAAGAGGUUGCACAGCUGGGGUGGAAAUCGGGGGGAUCACAGCGUCACCGCCCCUGGAUGGGAUGGUGCUGUGACCUCGUGCUCCCGGCAGUGGGAAUCUGGCACGCUCCCUGUGGGACAUGCUGGCCCUGCGCGGUGACAGGGCCUGGCGUCACCCGUGGAUCAGCCACAAAGCUGCUGACUGUGGCACUCGCCCACAGAGGUUGCCGUCCCUGUUUCUCCGCUGUCUUUCUCUAAUUACGUGUCCGAGCGCUUUCCCUUUGAUGCUAAUCGCCCCGGAGAGGCGCUGGAAAACAAGCCCGAGAAGGAGACGCCUGCACGCACAGUCUGUCCCCAGCUGGGCGUGAUGCCGCUGCCGAGGGAGCUCAGCGAGUCCCAGCACAUCUGUACAGCUGUGCCUGGAGCUGCUGGGCUCCACCCCCAGCGCUGUGGGAUAAUCUUUAACCACCAAAACCCUUCCCUUUGACAUCCAUUGCUGGACACCAAGAGCUGUGGCACGGCCACCAUGACUUUUGUCACCUUCUCCUAUAUAGGAAGGGUGAUCUCAGCAUCUAGGACAACACCAAAGGGUCGGGAUGACACCAAAACUCAGGAUGACGCCCAAACUCUGGGUGACGCCAGCCCUGGGUCGAGCUGACGGGGUCACCUCCGGGUUUGCAAACCUCUGUAAGGUGGAAAAACAAAAGGUGGCAGCAGAACGUCCUACCUGGGCGGCACUGCUGGGGUAGGAGCUGUUGCCAUCCAGGAGGAUGUGGGGCAGCAUAGGCCUGAUCUCCACGGCGUUGCUCCUCCUCUUGGUCACGUCCUCCAAGCGCAGGUGCUUCAGGGAGGGCAGGCUGCCCAGGGGGCUGAUGAAGGUGCCCCGGCUGAUGUGAGGGUCACUGAGCUUCCUCUGCAUGGGGAGGAUCUCCCCGUUGUGGGUGACGUCCGAGUUGGUUCUCCGGAGGGGCCCGUAGCGAUCCCUCACCUCGAAGUACUCGUCUGAGAUGGAGGAGGCGUUGGAGCGGCGGUAGCUGUGGUCGGCAGAGCUGCUGGAGUAGCUCUCCUGGUCGCUGAGGGUGAUGUACUCCUCUUCCUCCUCCUCCUCCUCCUCUCCCAGCCCGUUGUGGGUGCAGGGAGGCCCUUUGUCCUCCUGCGGAGCUGCCGCUGGCCGGUCCGGCUGGACGCGGCAGGGCUCCGUGGAAGCUCGGUUGGGUUUCUCCUCCUGCUUGGCGCCCGCGUGGUCGGCCGGCAGCGGCCGCGUGUCACCCUCCAGGGCAGCGCUGCUGUCGCAGGUUGUGACGGCUUUGGCCAUGAGGACACCAACGGGGACGGUCCUUGGCUUUGGAACCGGAGGCUUGACACCCUCCAGUGCCUCCUCCUGCGGCUUCGAAUGGUGGCCCAGCGGUGAAGAGGCAAACGUCCCCCCUUGCCUCGUUGCCCAGCUGACGCCUUCGAUGGGGCUGGGGGCUGCAGGAGCUUCCACGGGGGGCUGUGGGAUCUGUCGGUGGCUGGGGGACAGCAGGGGCGGCUCCUGGUCUGAGUUCUUCCUGGCCUCCAUCUCCCUGUUCUUCAGCAUCUGCCGGUGCUGGGCGCUGGCCUGGGAGACGUCGCAGACCUUGAUGCGGUUCAUCUGCGACAGCUUCGCGUUCUUCACCUUGGGGUCGAUGAUGUUGAUGUAGCCCAAGACUUCGCUCCCGGGCUCGGGGUCGGGCUCCACCCAUGUGGGCAGGUAGUCAAACAUGUUGGCUUUCUCCAGGUUCAGGAGGCCGGGGUGGAUGAGCAGGGAGAGGUCGGCCGCGUCACCGUGCCGCUCGCCCCCCUGGCCCUCGGGAGGUGCUUUGCCUUUGUUGUCAGCCUUCUGGGUUUUGUCCUGGUUCUCGGAUGAGGUCUUGCUGAUCUGGUCGGCGCUCUUGGCCUUCACCAGGGCGUAUUUGGGGUUUAUCAGCUUCUUCACCACGGCGUUGGCGGGGGUCACCGGCACCACGGAGGGCAGCGUUACGGGCUCGGGUUCGGGCUCUUCACCCAUGGAGAUGGACUUGAGGCUCACCCCCUUGGACAUGAGGUAGAGCUCCUGGAACUGCUUGUCAAACGCCUCCACCACCUGGCCCGACAGCACCGUGAUGACGUUCCGGUCCGUCCUCGCCGCCGACCAGGUGAAGCUGGAACAGAAACACAAUGGGGACUCUCUGAGCACUCGCUGGUAAAUAACAGCUCUCCCCAGCCCUGGCCUUCCCCGGGGGCUGGUGGUGCCAGCAGGGACGUGAUCUCACUGUAAACAUUAAUAACAAUAAUAAUGGGAUUGAGGAAAUAGCUCCCAUCCCAAAUUAGAGCGAAGGGUCGAAGUCUUGAGCACAGUGGGACUCGAAGUAAAAAUAAAAGGUGUUUGCAGUGGGUCCGUUUUUCACUUUGGUGUUGUCCCCAUCUCAGUUUGGAUUAGCUAAGAAAAGCGACUCAUAAGGGGAUGUGUUAUUUGUUAUGGUCAGAAAGGAGGAAAUGUUUCAGUUCCAUGUUUAUAGAACUUGUCUUUUAGACCUGAAAUCUGAUCAGGGCUGGUCCAUUUCUACCUAAGUAAGUUUUCCUUUGAGCAAACUGAAAUAUACUCUGUGUAGGAAACUGACAGGAAAAGCCGAGCUUGGUGUGAGAGUUGGGCCUGGCUGUGGUUUGGUGCUUUGGUCCUUCCUUGCGCUCACCAGCACAGAAACCCUUGGUGUGUCCCACCACCCCCAGGAAGGGUGGGUGUCCCAGACCUGGCGGUGUAGGGAGCAGUGGGAAACCCUUGGGACCACUCCAAAACUCCUUGGAAGUUCAUCUCCCAGCUUAGGAGGAGGAGAGCAAGUCUGGUGUGGCGUCCUUGGACCACGUGUGUGCUCAUCGCUCCUUUCACCAACACCUCCGCGGGGUGGCCAAGAGGGGAUGUCACUGAUUUACCUGUAGGAGCCACACAUGGCUCGGUCCCCGUCCACGAACAUGAACUUCUGGGCCAAAGCCCCCUUGAACUUGGUGGCCGAACGGGUGAAGAACUCGGUCCCUCCGGUGCUGCGGACGCGCAGGUUCUGCGGAGCAGAGGCACAGGCGUGAGCAGCAGCGAAGAGCUGCUGUGAGAGCAGCACCCACCGCUCCAAGAACGCCCCUCUGGACGCUCCACAGCCCCUCUGAGGAGCGGGAACGUUCUUCCCGGCCGGCUCAGAGGAGCCCACAGCCGUGGGGAGAGACAGGAACUCGCCCAAGGCCACGCAGUGAACCGCGGGCUCGGCUUGGGGAGUUUCCUGCUUUGCCCGUGUGCCAGGCUGUGUUUGCCAUCUCCUGAACUCGGUGCCCGUGGGCGAGUGCUGCUGCCAAGCUCUCCCCGGCUCCUGCAAUCUAUGCAAAUGCCACCAUGGGAGAGGAGGCUCCACACCUGCUCCCAGCGGAGAUUUGCGGGGGGUUUUUGGGGAGGGGGUGACCCCUGGACAGCCCACGUGGACCUGCCUGCAGGGGGUUUGUCCUUCCCCACGCUCCCCUUUUGCUGUGCUCCCAAAUUUGGGCAUCCACUCCUGCUUUUAGGGGCUGGUGGGAAAUCAGGCAGUGGGGAAACAUCUUUUCACCCUGGGGAAACGAAACCCGGUGACGUGGGAGCAGGUGCCUGGAGCGGAGUUGGGUGUCCUCCCCAGGGAACCCAGUGAUGCAAGGGCAGCCCUGGCUCUGUGAAAAUGUUUCUGUUGGUUUUUUUUCUAUCCCCAGUCUGGCUCCUGUCUCCCAUGGAUCGCACUGGCACAUUCCCCAGCAGAGCAGAUAGCAUCUCCCAUGGCAAAUGGGCUCCUUUUGGGUGGGGAGAAAAUAUUUUCUGCAUUCCUCCUGUUCCUGCUGCGAUGUUGGUAAUGCUGUUGCAAAAGGCUCGGUGUCAUCACUGGGUCAUGCCCUCCGUGGCUGUUUUAUUGUGUGCUUUGCUUCGCUUUUUAAAGAAAAGCAUCAAAAUUAUUUGUCUUCCCUUCCUCCAGCCUUUCUCAUCUGCUUCCCUGGGCUCUCCUCUCUUUCCCUGGAGACCAUGUCCAGGCACAGUCCUGAGCCCAGGUGCACCCCUGCUCCCCAGCGCCUGGCAGGAAAAUUCAGUGUGGAUGACGUGAAAGCAGCAGAUUUCCUGACCCUGUUUCCAGGGAAGUUCCACACACUGAACAGAGAAGGUUCGGGGUGGGGGGGAAUUUUUUGCGAAUUUCACAGUUUUCAUUGCAUUUUCCUUUUUGCCUGCAGUGAAAACUGGUGCCGAGCACCCUGAUUCAGUGUGCCGCACUGGGGGUGCUGGGAGCCAGCUGGGAUGGCAAUUCCCAUCCCUGCCCCGUGUUAUCCCUACACGUGGGGCUGCUGAGAGAGCGGUGACACCCACGGCUUCACCCUCUGCCCACUCGGAGCUCACCCUUUUCCCGAACUCAAGCAGCAGCUCGGGGUUUUUCUCGGGGAGCAACGCUCCCGGUGCUGGUGCCUUUUCCUCCUGGCUGUUCAGUAAAAUCUGAUUUUUAACCCCUGCCCAGGCAGCGGGACGGCCGAGGAGCAGUGCUGGGUGAAUCACUGCCCAGGCAGCCCUUGCACAAGCCUGCUGCUGAUUGCCAAGCGCCGAGAUAACGAGCCACACGUUUCGUUAACAUCUCCCGCCUCGAGAAGCGGCUCCCAGACUCUGCCCUGCUUUCCUCACCUCCUCCUGCACCCCGUGCCAGCGAACCGCCUCGCAACGUGUGGCAAAUCCCAACUUCGAGGCAUUUGCCGAGCUCUGCAGACGUUCUCCUGCUUUUCCAGUCCUGCCACCGGGCCGCUAAUGCAGGAAAACACCGGAGUGCGUCAGCGCUGGCUUUUCUGGUCUGGAAGCGGCAGCAGCCCGCGGGAUCCCAGACUCUCCAGGGGGGUUUGGACGCAGCCGGCGUCCAGGAGGUCCUUGAAGAUGUCCACGUCGGUGAACAUGUCCAUGACCACGGCGAUGACCUGGAGAGGGGAGACGGGAGAUGAGUCUGGGCCUUGUGGCCGGGGACAACCCAAGGGUUUGCAGCAUGGUCACGGUAACAUCACCACACCUGACCACGACAGAUUUCAUUAAUAACUGCGGGAUGGACAAAGAAAACCCCGCUUGGUGCUCGCAAACCAGAAACGUGGAAGCUCUCUCGAGCUUUUCUCUUGGAAGCUCAGCCGAAGACGAGUUUCAGGAAUCGGGGUCAGAUCCUUGCGCCAAUGCAAAAAAGGGAAUUGCCACGGGCUGUGUGUCUGUCCCCGGCGUUGGUGUGGCUCAUCCGGAUUCACAGCCGGGUAAAUGAGGGCCCUGCCUGAGUCAGGCUCCCGGGGCGAAGCCGCCCGUCUGUCCGGCCAUCAAAGCGCUCCUCUCUGCGGGCACGGUGGCCCUGCUCGUCCCACGGUGACAAAUCCUGCGUGGGCUUGUGCCCAGCCCUGGCCUGGCCUGCGCAGGAGGUGGCAGCGGGGCUGGGGGACGCGGGAAUGUCACAGCUGUUUGUCAGCAUCAUGGAAUCAUUGAGGUUGGAAAGGAUCGCCAGGCCCAAGCCGGCAGCGCCGGGUCCAACGCUGCACCGCGUCCCCAAGUGUCACAUCAGCUCUGGGGAGGUCGAAGUGCUCGGCUCCCGAAGGAUGUCAGCUCAGGAGGUGUUUCAGGCGGGGCUGGUGACUUUGUGACUGGCCCUGCAGGGGUUUCUCAGCGGUGGGGUGACAUCCCCACGGCGGCGCAGCAGACACUGAGGGAGCUGGAGCCGAAGCCGGGUGUUUCAGGUGAAAUCCCAGCGCUGCUGGCAGCGAUGGGGACAGCAAACGGGACAGAGACACCGUGGCCUGUGUGGACCCUGAG